GAUUGAACUUAACUGCUGUAUUUGCAAAAUAAUAUAGAGGAAACUCCACGCUUACACAACCUGUGAUUGGUUGUAGGGUUUGUGCUAACUGAAACCAUAAAGUUAGACUAUGAAAAUAGAUGGCAGAUGAUGAUCUAAAGUAAUUUAUUACCAUGAUCUAGUCUUGAAAGUGCCACAGAGACGAGCAAAAGGGAAACCUUCGACCUGGAACGCGGUAAACCCCACAAGUAAGAAACUCAAAUUUUGGUAGAGGAAUCACUUAGAGAGAAGCCGAAUCAACAAGUGGAUAACAUUAGUUAUAGAUAGAUAGUUAAGCUAAGCAAUUAGAACAGAACGUGGGUUAUGUAA
rnacentral:RNase_P_RNA from 2 species